GGGAAAGAUUCAUCGGUAUGGGAUGGGGUCGCGUCCUAUCAGCUUGAUGGCGGGGUAACGGCCCACCAUGGCUUCGACGGGUAGCCGGCCUGAGAGGGCGACCGGCCACAUUGGGACUGAGAUACGGCCCAGACUCCUACGGGAGGCAGCAGUGGGGAAUAUUGCACAAUGGGCGCAAGCCUGAUGCAGCGACGCCGCGUGCGGGAUGACGGCCUUCGGGUUGUAAACCGCUUUUGACUGGGAGCAAGCCCUUCGGGGUGAGUGUACCUUUCGAAUAAGCACCGGCUAACUACGUGCCAGCAGCCGCGGUAAUACGUAGGGUGCAAGCGUUAUCCGGAAUUAUUGGGCGUAAAGGGCUCGUAGGCGGUUCGUCGCGUCCGGUGUGAAAGUCCAUCGCUUAACGGUGGAUCCGCGCCGGGUACGGGCGGGCUUGAGUGCGGUAGGGGAGACUGGAAUUCCCGGUGUAACGGUGGAAUGUGUAGAUAUCGG
rnacentral:rRNA from 1 species